UACGUAGGGUGCGAGCGUUAAUCGGAAUUACUGGGCGUAAAGUGUGCGCAGGCGGCCGCGCAAGUCGAGUGUGAAAGCCCCGGGCUUAACUUGGGAAUUGCGCUCGAAACUACGUGGCUGGAGUAUGGCAGAGGAAGGUGGAAUUCCACGUGUAGCGGUGAAAUGCGUAGAGAUGUGGAGGAACACCGAUGGCGAAGGCAGCACUCUGGGCCGUAAUUGACGCUGAGG
rnacentral:rRNA from 1 species